rnacentral:rRNA from 1 species
GACGAACGCUGGCGGCGUGCUUAACACAUGCAAGUCGCACGGAGUGGCGAACGGGUGAGUAACACAUGGGUGACCUGCCCUGCACUUCGGGAUAAUCCUGGGUAACUGGGUCUAAUACUGGAUAGUGUGGGAUGGGCCCUCGGCCAAUCGGCUUGUUGGUGGGGUAAUGGCCUACCAAGGGGGCGACGGGUAGCCGGCCUGAGAGGGUGGACGUCCUCAUGUGGACUGAGACACGGCGCAGCCUCCAACGGGAGGCAGCAGUGGGGAAUAUUGCACAGUGGGCGGAAGCCUGAUGCAGCGACGCCGCGUGGGGGAUGGCGGCCUUCGGGUGGUAAACUCCUUUCACCAUCGACGCGGUAGAUGGAGAAGAAGCACCGGCUAACUACGUGCCAGCAGCCGCGGUAAUAC